ACACGCAUGACACACUGCAUAUCAAUAAGCGGAGGAAAAGAAACUAACAAGGAUUCCCUUAGUAACGGCGAGUGAAGCGGGAAGAGCUCAAAUUUGAAAUCUUCAAGGUUCUACCUUGACGAAUUGUAGUUUAUAGAAGUGUUUUCUGUUAGUAGAGUGGCAAAAGUUCUUUGGAAUAGGACAUCAUAGAGGGUGAGAAUCCCGUAUUUGGUCAUUCUUUCUAGCUUUGUGAUACACUUUCAACGAGUCGGAUUGUUUGGGAAUGCAGUCCAAAAUGGGUGGUAAACUUCAUCUAAAGCUAAAUAUUGGCGAGAGACCGAUAGCGAACAAGUACCGUGAGGGAAAGAUGAAAAGAACUUUGAAAAGAGAGUUAAACAGUACGUGAAAUUGUCAAAAGGGAAGCGUUUGACACCAGUGUUGUUUUUCCGAAAAUCAAUUACGAAUGUUUUAUUUUUGAGAAGUUAUGACUUCAUCGGCUUGCUUCUCUCUUUAUGAAACUUUCUUAAUGCACUUUUCGGUUAACAAGUCAACAUCAAUUUCUUUUGUUGUAAAAGGGUAUGAGGAAGGUGGCUUUCUUUUCGGAGAAAGUGUUUAUAGCCUUGUAGCCUCUGCAAUCGGAGAGAUUGAGGUCUGCAGCGUAGAUCCUUCGGGGUUAGAUACAUUUGUGCUAAGUUAUAGCUUUUCAUAGACAACUUGUUGACUAUAUUUAGUCUUGUAGCUUACUCGCUGAUGCUAUUUUACCUACGCUUAGGAUGUUGACUGAUAUGUAGUCGUA
rnacentral:rRNA from 1 species